AUGGUUUUUGAGAUCACCUCCUCAUGGUCCACUUUGUACCUCAACUUUCCGUACCUGCUGGGAAAGGCGGAGCGGGCAGAGGGCGAGCCCGAGGUGAAGAAGCAGCGACUUGUGUGUGUGGAGUUUGCUUCGGUCGCGAGGUCCGACGCUGCCGUGGCUCAGUACUACCUGGCCGAGAACGACUGGGAGAUGGAAAGGGCGCUGAACUCCUUCUUGGAGCCGCCCCGGCAGGAGAGCGCGGCGCAGAGCCGCGUUCACACGGCAGCGGGGCCCGAGUCCUGUGCUGACCUAACGAAUGAGGAGACAACUGAUUCCAUUAGUUCUAAAGCCAGUACAUCUGAAGGGAAUCAUCAAGAAGAUGGCAGCCUGUUCUCUUUCAUUACCUGGAAUGUUGAUGGAUUGGACCUAAACAAUCUGCAAGAGAGGGCCCAAGGGGUGUGUUCCUAUCUAACUUUGUACAGCCCAGAUGUGAUAUUCCUACAAGAAGUUAUUCCCCCGUAUUGUAGCUACCUAAAGAAGAGAGCAAGUAGUUAUGAGAUUAUUACAGGUCAUGAAGAAGUAUAUUUCACAGCUAUAAUGUUGAAGAAAUCGAGAGUGAAAUUUAAAAGCCAAGAGACUAUCCCUUUUCCAAAUACAAAAAUGAUGAGAAACCUUUUGUGUGUGUAUGCAACUGUGUCAGGAAAUGAACUUUGCCUUAUGACUUCUCAUUUGGAGAGCACCAGAGGGCAUGCUAAGGAACGAAUGGAUCAGUUAAAAAUGGCUUUAAAGAAAAUGCAAGAGGCUCCAGAGUCAGCUACCGUUAUAUUUGCAGGAGAUACAAAUUUAAGGGAUCAUGAAGUCACCCAAUGUGGUGGUUUACCCAGCAACAUUUUGGAUGUCUGGGAGUUCUUGGGCAAACCUAGGCAUUGCCAGUAUACGUGGGAUACACAGAUGAACUCUAAUCUUGGAAUAUCUACUUGUAAGCUUCGUUUUGAUUGAAUAUUUUUCAGGACAGCAGCAGAAAGUGGCCAUAUGGUUCCCCAAAGUUUGGACCUCCUCGGGUUGGAAAAACUGGACUGUGGUAGAUUUCCUAGUGAUCUCUGGGGUCUCCUGUGCAAUCUCGAUGUAAUCUUGUGAAAUGCUUUCCAAAUAAGAGUUUUCUAUCUUCUGAGUAACUUUGUUCUGGAUUUUUGCAAAUGUAAUUUCUACCUGUCUGGAAAGGUAGGUUAUAUGGAGGAAUUGAUACACUACAUCAUUGUAACAGGAGAAAACACUACUGUGAUUUUUAUUUUGUGGAUUGUGUACUCAAAUUUCAGAACUAAAUAUUGAUGUUUAUUUAAACUAAAGCAUACAGAAUAUGAGACUUCUUCAUAAAGGCCACCAAGACCGUCAGAGCUCCUAAUACUGCUCAGAGCUGCCAGCUGGUUCUCAAGCAGGGCCAUGUUGUCCCUGGGCUAGCCUUUAUAUUUUAUUUUUAAAAUCAAGCACCAAAUGGUUUAUAUUUUAAGUAAAUCUUUAAAAUAAAAAUAAGAGGUUAUUGUGUUUGGGGGAAUUGGAUCUUUUAAUUCAGGUAAUCUUAAAUGAAAAAAGCCAUGAUUAUGUACAUUUAAGUAGAUGGCAACUAUCCUCUAGCAGACUUUAUUUUUGUCAGCUAACAGUACAUGAUUGGUAAGCUAUAAAUGAAAUCUUUUGAUUUGAAAUUCCUUUACUUUUUAAAAUUCAUAUUUGUCAACAUGUCGCUGUUCAUGUUGCCAACAGAGGCAAAAUUAGGCUUGAUAAUGAU